UACGAAGGGGGCUAGCGUUGUUCGGAAUUACUGGGCGUAAAGGGCGCGUAGGCGGCUUCGCUAGUCGGGCGUGAAAUGCCUGGGCUUAACCCGGGAAUUGCGUUCGAUACUUCGAGGCUAGAGUGUGGGAGAGGUUGGUGGAAUUCCCAGUGUAGAGGUGAAAUUCGUAGAUAUUGGGAAGAACACCGGUGGCGAAGGCGGCCAACUGGACCACAACUGACGCUGAGGCGCGAAAGCGUGGGGAGCAAACAG
rnacentral:rRNA from 1 species